ensembl:lncRNA
GUUAAAACCAGUAACUACUUAUGCUCUGCUCUGAGGAUUUUCACCUGCUAGUGUCCAGCAUUACUGGCAGCACUACAACAGCAUAUUUUCCCCAUUGAAAUAAUAGACAAGAAUAAUACCGUCUGUGUCCACUUCCUUGGUUGCUUCUGGUUGGCUUCAGCUUCACUAAGUUUGAAGUCAGCCUGAUUUUCUACAGAAAUCAGUGGUCCUAAUCAACAGCAGCCUGCUCCUGUUGGCAACCCACCUGAGCAGGAGAGAUGAACAAGCUGACCUCCAGAGGACCCUUCCUACCUCAGCCAUUCUGUGGUUCUAGACAGCAUUUAUCCAAAGAAAGCAGCAGUAAUACCCAUACUUACAUACCUUAAUCCAAGGCAGGGCAAGAGAAGCCUAUUUCUAGAAGGAAACUGCUGUCAAGAUUGCAUGGAAGACAAAGUCUGCGCACUGUAUGUCUGCUCACAGCUAGGUGUCCCCUAAUACCUUUCUUGCUCCAUUUUGACUUUCCGACUCCAGGUGUCCUCUGCCAGGUAGCAUUAGCCUCUACCAAAUCAUCCUUUAUUAGUGCUCUGAACAUUCAAUUAUAGUCCAUUACAGUAAAACUGGAAGUGCUCCAUGUCUUUUCUCUAGGUGGAUAGACACAGCAGAUAAUAUUUCAGAAAAAAAGGGACAGAAAAUUUUCCCAGCCCCAAAUUUACUAGAUCAUAGAAUUAUAGAAUCAUCUGGGGGACCCUUGAAGGCCAUCCAGUCCAAUUCCCCUGCAAUGAACACGAACACCUACAGCUAGAGCAGGUGCUCACAGCCCUGCCCAGCCCGACCUCGGGUGUCUGCAGGGAUGGCCCAUACACCACUUCUCUGGACAAGAUACUUUUUCAUGUCAGUCUUUAUCUCGUAAUGGCUUAUCUUGCUUUUACCAAGAAUUUUCACUGCCAAAGUUUACUAUUUUCUUCCCAUGUUAAGUUAUCAUUUCUUUUCCACGUAUUCAGAAAGGAUGCUUAAGCCACAAAUCCUCUUGCAGUCAAACAAAUGGUAAUUUGUUCUCCAUGGCAGUCUGAAUGACCAUAUCCUUUCCUAAGAUCUAGUAUACCUGAGACUCCAUUACGCUCGAAGCAUAUACUGCUGACGCUCACUGGCAUACUGUGACUUAUUAUGCAUUACCAAGAUUAAAUUACUUCUGUGAUAUUUUGUGGUGGUUUUGAUCUGUUAAUUAUUUUCUUUUUAACAAGCAGUGGCAAGAGCUGUAUAUAACUAAGAACUCUGAGGGGGGUAUUUGUAAUUUGAAUGAAAUAAAAACCCAUCAACCCAAC